rnacentral:lncRNA from 1 species
UUUAAUUAUUUGGUGCUUCCUGCCAUGUACAUUUUCAAUUUAAAGUGAGGCUACGUCAACCCCUGGCAAGGCUUGUGCCCCACAUGAUAGCAACCAGCCAAGCACCUGCUUCUAGAAGCAAUCUGUGGACAGAGCUUGCAAAGGUCCAUGAGAUCACUAUUGCAAACCGGGGAGAGGUCAAGGCAAGAGGAAGUAUCUUGGGUGGAUUGGAGCAAUUUUCCCCUCCCACAAAUCCUCUGGCUGGAAAGUCCAGGCAGGGAGUGAUGACAGAAGCCAGGCACAGACCACAUUCCUGCCACAGUGAGACAAAUGCCUUUGGAGCCCUGAGCUACCUCAUAAGAAAUCCAGAGACCUUGAAGGAACAUGUGGAAGGACCAUGUGGUGGGUCCCAAAGGGAUAGAGGGAAGUGCCUGGGGAGCCACAGCUGCUCCAGCCCCUGCUCCAGCUGUUUGUUUUCCCAGCCCAGGAACAAGACCUGUGAAUGAAGAAGACUUGAAAUUGACCCCAGCUCUAGCCACUGACCAGUCUGCCUCAGUCUCAUGGGAGACGCCGAGUCAGACUAGCUCAGCUUGGCUGCUGGCAAAUUCCUGGCCCACAAAACCCACAAAAGCUAAUAAACAACAUUGCUUUUGCAAGGCACUAAGUUUUGAGUUGAUUUGUUAUGCAUUGCUAGAUAACAAAUAAAUGCAUGAUACCAACUAAUAACUCUGUGUGACAGGUAUUGUUAUCUCAGUUUCACAAAUGAAGAAACUAAGGUUUAGAGAACUUGAGAAGCAUAUGUACAAUACCACUAGGAAGACACAGAGCUGGGACACAAACUUGUGUCCACGAGACUCCAGAGUUCAUACAGGAUGCUCUGCGCUAGGAGGCUGCCUCAUUGGAUGCUGGAGGAGGUUGAAAAAAAUAGGUAAAAUUGUGUUUUUCUGUAUCUGCCCUACUAGCCUCUCACGAUUCUAAGAUUAAACACACGAUCAUAUUGUGUUUGGAAGAUCACCACCUGUUCAAAACACUCUAGGCUCAUAGUUAACUGGCAGAACUAGCCCCUGAC